UACGUAGGGGGCAAGCGUUGUCCGGAUUUAUUGGGCGUAAAGAGCGUGUAGGCGGCCAGACAGGUCCGUUGUGAAAACUCGAGGCUCAACCUCGAGACGUCGACGGAAACCGUCUGGCUAGAGUCCGGAAGAGGAGUGUGGAAUUCCUGGUGUAGCGGUGAAAUGCGCAGAUAUCAGGAAGAACACCCGUGGCGAAGGCGGCUCUCUGGGACGGUACUGACGCUGAGGCACGAAAGCGUGGGGAGCGAACAGG
rnacentral:rRNA from 1 species